CAGUCGCCACGGUAAUACGGAGGGGGCUAGCGUUGUUCGGAAUUACUGGGCGUAAAGCGCACGUAGGCGGCAUGGUAAGUUAGAGGUGAAAGCCUGGAGCUCAACUCCAGAAUUGCCUUUAAGACUGCCGAGCUAGCAGGUGAGAGAGGUAAGUGGAAUUCCGAGUGUAGAGGUGAAAUUCGUAGAUAUUCGGAAGAACACCAGUGGCGAAGGCGGCUUACUGGCUCAUACUGGACGCUGAGGUGCGAAAGCGUGGGGAGCAAACAGGAUUAGAUACCCCCGUAGUCCCUGUCUCUUAUAC
rnacentral:rRNA from 1 species